rnacentral:antisense_RNA from 1 species
GGUCCAAGUAGGCUAAAUCCAGUCCAGAGUUUGUGGACGUUCUUAGGGAAUAUAAAGCUAAGGGGCAGCAAAAUUAGUAGCACCAAAUCUGUGGAGCCAGAAAAUGUGGAUUCAAACUCCUGCUGCACAUCUUGUAUGCUUUUUGAUUUUGAAAGAGUUUUUUUUUCCUUUUUGAGCCUUGGCUUCCAUAUAUACAAAAUGAAGUUACUAAUAAUAUCAACCUUAUAGGAGAUGGCCUGGAUUCUGCCAUGUAAAUCAAAGAAGAGAGGGCCUAACUCAGCUGCCUAGCCUGGAUCACCUGGAACCCAUUAGGAUACAGGAUCAUAAACACCUCUAUUUUCCCUUCAGAGAGAGACCAGAACCACUGGAGUUAAGCUACCUGCAUAAGAGUUGAGUGCGAUCAGCUGUACUUAAUCUUUAAAUGUCCAACCCACUGAUAACCUUUGGUUUGCUUUGAUAACUAUGAAAUAAAUUCU